UGGGGAAUAUUGCACAAUGGAGGGAACUUUGAUGCAGCGACGCCGCGUGAACGAAGAAGGCUUUCGAGUCGUAAAGUUCUUUUAUAUGGGAAGAUAAUGACGGUACCAUAAGAAAAAGCCCCGGCUAACUACGUGCCAGCAGCCGCUGUAAUACGUAGGGGGCUAGCGUUGUCCGGAAUCACUGGGCGUAAAGGGUUCGCAGGCGGAAAUGCAAGUCAGGUGUAAAAGGCAGUAGCUUAACUACUGUAAGCAAUUGAAACUGCAUAUCUUGGGAAGAGUAGAGGUAAGUGGAAUUUUUAGUGUAGCGGUGAAAUGCGUAGAUAUUAAAAAGAAUACCGGUGGCGAAGGCGACUUACUGGGCUCAUUCUGACGCUGAGGGACGAAAGCGUGGGUAGCAAACAGG
rnacentral:rRNA from 1 species